rnacentral:lncRNA from 1 species
AUGUACAAGUUAUGGAUCCCAAAAGACUUUCCAAGACUGACAUUGGUCCCAGAGAUGCUGACCUUGCUCCCACGAAAGCAAGAGAAGAUUCCCUACUGUCCUUAUGGGGAAAGUAAUACUGUUGGGGGCUGGAGAUUUUCUACGUUUUUAGCGAAAUGCCAGGGAAUCUUUACCUUCCACCUGGACGGCCACCAGAGACAAACAGAAAGGACCUUGGGUUUAAUGUCUCAUCUAAAGGAUAUUAUAAUGUGUUGGCCUCAUUAUUCACAGCAGAAAAGGCCUUUGUCAUGGUCAGAUGGCUUUAAUGUGUUUCGUAUGCUACAUAAAUUCAAACUUGAUGGCUCAUUUAUUUGUUGGAUUGCAGCGUUAUUCAACCUAAAUGAAGCCUUGGUAUUUACUAAUAAUUUGGGCUCUGGCUCUUGUUUAUUUAGGUAAGCAGUGUCCACUGUCUCCUCUGUUGUCUGUAUUAAGUUGGAACUCUACCGAUUCAAGGAAUAUUAUAGAGGGGGCCAAAAAAAAUGCAGAGAAAAUAGCAUUUCAUUUGUGGACAAUUAUUUAUCCAAGCCUUGAAAGAUUAGUAUUCCAAUAUUGCAGUUUCUGACAUCAAUUUUCUCAGGGUCAGAAACAACUUCUCAGACUUCAACUAAGCCUCAAAAUACCCCCAUGAGGAAGUGAGUCAUUGUUAUCAUCACUUUGAAAAAGGGCAAACUGGAGGUAGAAGGGGGUUAGGCAGCUUAUUCUAUGUCCAAAAAAAAAAAAAAAAAGACACCAACUAAAAUGCAUCCAGAAUCCAAAUCUGCCUUUUAAUGUUACGGCCAUAUUUCCUGUUGUGAUGCGACAAUGUUCUUUGAUGAAACUACGUGCAGCAAUUUUCAAACUAUGUAGUCACACCAGAUCUAAAAAAAUCAGAACACCAAGAUUCUCUUUUAUUGUCUGAAAAUAAGAAUAUAUGGUUAUAAAAACAGAAAAGUGUAACUAGUCAAUUACUUAUAAUGUAUAGCCUUUAUUCUAUCUUAUAUAAAGACUUGCCUUCUAAUGUGUUUUUUUUUUUUUAUCUGAAU